GAUCCUGGCUCAGGAUGAACGCUGGCGGCGUGCCUAAUACAUGCAAGUCGAGCGAACAGAUAAGGAGCUUGCUCCUUUGACGUUAGCGGCGGACGGGUGAGUAACACGUGGGUAACCUACCUAUAAGACUGGGACAACUUCGGGAAACCGGAGCUAAUACCGGAUAAUAUGUUGAACCGCAUGGUUCAAUAGUGAAAGAUGGUUUUGCUAUCACUUAUAGAUGGACCCGCGCCGUAUUAGCUAGUUGG
rnacentral:rRNA from 1 species